CACGUAGGGGGCGAGCGUUGUCCGGAUUCAUUGGGCGUAAAGAGCUCGUAGGCGGCUCAGCAAGUCGGGUGUGAAACCUCCAGGCUCAACCUGGAGACGCCACUCGAUACUGCUGUGGCUAGAGUCCAGUAGGGGAGCGUGGAAUUCCUGGUGUAGCGGUGAAAUGCGCAGAUAUCAGGAGGAACACCGGUGGCGAAGGCGGUUCUCUGGGCAUUACCUGACGCUGAGGAGCGAAAGUGUGGGGAGCGAACAGG
rnacentral:rRNA from 1 species